UUUCUUAUCAUCGUUCACUUUAAAUUCCAGCAGCUCCUGCCUCUCCUUUUUCAGGAAAUCCAAGCAGCCCUGGAUUUUCUCCUUGUACUCCUCGGACGCCUCAUCCACGGGGACCACGGCGUGAGGUCGGUGCUUGCGGGAGCGGUCGCACACCACGCAGAUGCUCCUCCUGUCGUCCUUGCAGUAGAGCUUGAGGGCUUCGCGGUGCUUCACGCAGAGCCCGUCCUCCUCCGCCCCCUUGGCCCCACGCAGGGCGAACUGGCUGAUGAUUUCGGACAUGUUGGCCAACUGGCGGUUGGGUCGGAGGCUCUUCUGCUGGAAGACCUCCCUGCACUGCGGGCAGGGGAAGUCCAUCUCCAAGUCCUUCCAGCUCUUGACGAUGCACGCCCGGCAGAAGUUGUGCCCGCACUCGAUGGACACGGG
rnacentral:lncRNA from 1 species